UCCGAGUUGUAAUUUGCAGAGGGCGCUUUGGUGUUGGCAGCGGUCCAAGUUCCUUGGAACAGGACGUCACAGAGGGUGAGAAUCCCGUACGUGGUCGCUAGCCUUCGCCGUGUAAAGCCCCUUCGACGAGUCGAGUUGUUUGGGAAUGCAGCUCUAAAUGGGAGGUAAAUUUCUUCUAAAGCUAAAUACUGGCCAGAGACCGAUAGCGCACAAGUAGAGUGAUCGAAAGAUGAAAAGCACUUUGGAAAGAGAGUCAAAUAGCACGUGAAAUUGUUGAAAGGGAAGCGCUUGCAGCCAGACUUGCCUGUAGUUGCUCAUCUGGGCUUUUGCCCGGUGCAUUCUUCUGCAGGCAGGCCAGCAUCAGUUUGGGCGGUUGGAUAAAGGUCUCUGUCAUGUACCUCUCUUCGGGGAGGCCUUAUAGGGGAGACGUCAUGCAACCAGCCUGGACUGAGGUCCGCGCAUUUGCUAGGAUGCUGGCGUAAUGGCUGUAAGCGGCCCGUCUUGAAACACGGACCAAGGAGUCUAACAUCUAUGCGAGUGUUUGGGUGUCAAGCCCGAGCGCGUAAUGAAAGUGAACGGAGGUGGGAACCCUUUGGGUGCACCAUCGACCGAUCCUGAUGUCUUCGGAAGGAUUUGAGUAAGAGCAUGGCUGUUGGGACCCGAAAGAUGGUGAACUAUGCUUGAAUAGGGU
rnacentral:rRNA from 1 species